GACGAACGCUGGCGGCGUGCCUAAUGCAUGCAAGUCGCACGGAGAGCCUUCGGGCUCUGAGUGGCGCACGGCUGAGGAACACGUGGGAAUCUGCCCGACCGUGGGGGAUAACGCGCCGAAAGGCGUGCUAAUCCCGCAUACGCUCGCAAGAGGAAAGCAGCAAUGCGCGGUCGGAGGAGCCUGCGGCCCAUCAGGUAGUUGGCGGGGUAACGGCCCACCAAGCCACUGACGGGUAGCUGGUCUGUGAGGACAACCAGCCAGACUGGGACUGAGACACGGCCCAGACUCCUACGGGAGCAGCAGCAAGGAAUUUUCGUCAAUGGGCGCAAGCCUGAACGAGCAACGCCGCGUGGAGGAUGACGGCCU
rnacentral:rRNA from 1 species